GUGGGGAAUUUUGGACAAUGGGCGCAAGCCUGAUCCAGCAAUGCCGCGUGCAGGAAGAAGGCCUUCGGGUUGUAAACUGCUUUUGUACGGAACGAAACGGUCCUGGCUAAUACCUGGGGCUAAUGACGGUACCGUAAGAAUAAGCACCGGCUAACUACGUGCCAGCAGCCGCGGUAAUACGUAGGGUGCGAGCGUUAAUCGGAAUUACUGGGCGUAAAGCGUGCGCAGGCGGUGCUGUAAGACAGGCGUGAAAUCCCCGGGCUCAACCUGGGAAUUGCGCUUGUGACUGCAGUGCUGGAGUGAGGCAGAGGGGGAUGGAAUUCCGCGUGUAGCAGUGAAAUGCGUAGAUAUGCGGAGGAACACCGAUGGCGAAGGCAAUCCCCUGGGCCUGCACUGACGCUCAUGCACGAAAGCGUGGGGAGCAAACAGGAUUAGAAACCCCUGUAGUCC
rnacentral:rRNA from 1 species